rnacentral:lncRNA from 1 species
UCCUGGUCUGUCGGCGGUCUCCCUCUAUGUCCCCUACAGCAGCAGCGCGUCAGGCAUGAAUCUGGUGUGACAGAAAACACGCAGCGGUCGCCACGCAACUGACACGCAGCAGAAACGCCACGCUCACGCCAUGCAUCCAGUGUGUCACCGACAGUCCUGCUCGAGACAUUUUCUUUUUCUCUGAAAUACUUCAAGUUCAAAGAUCAGGACGUCACGACUUCGACUGAUGGAAAAUUAUUCGUUUAAGAAACUGAGUCUGUGAACAUAUAACGACAUUCAGAAUCACAAUCAUGAAUGCUGUAAAUACUGUGCAGCUGUUCAUUCUGGUUUGGACCUUUACUGCUGUCUGUCAAGCUGAUGAUGAUAUCAGUGUAAGCUGUGAUGAUGUGACUGGAUCUGUGGGGAAAGAAAUGAAUCUCACCUGCAGCGUCUCUCUGAAGAUCACUGAAUGCUGCAUUAUAAUGUAUAAGUUUCAAUACCCUGAGAUCUAUGAUGGCUCUGCAAUUUGUCGUCAAGAUGUUUCUGUGAACCCCUGUAAACGGAGAAACAGUUUCACAUGCCUCUUCACUCCAACUACAGCAAUGACAAAACAAUUCAGAUUCUUUGUGCAAACAAACUGUGGAGUGAAAAAAGAAGACAUUCUUACUAUUGAAGCAUCAGGUACUGCUUACUAUAAUAUCUUUGCUUAUAAUCUACUAAAUCUUUCCAAAUAUACGUUUAUGUCAAAUCUACUAACAGUGGUUUAAAACCUCUUAACAAAGACCAUUAAAGGGUUAUUUCACAAAAAAAUAAAAAUGAUGUCAUUAAUGACUCUGAAUGACCCUCAUGUCAUUCCAAUCUAGGGCUGUGCAAUUAAUCGAAAUUGUAAUAAAAUUUCUAAAUUCAGUUUAUAGCAUGAUUUUCUGCGGCCACGACCUCCUGCAGUAUGCUAUCCGAAACAAUCAAAAUGCAGCGCGCCUAUGUGGGAGCGCGAGAACAGAACAGACUGGGGAUAUGCCUAACUCUAGGUUCACAAACUCUGUCUGUGAUGCGUAGCCUUUUUUUCGAGCCCUUCAAACCUUGAGCAAAAAAUAUAACACCUGAGGCAAUGCUACAGUUGAUAAACAACGCUAUGUCUUGACAUUUUGUUUGCUUUACUUAGUGAUUAUUUUAACUUCUGUCUGUCCUAGAGACAUGUUACAACUUUUUAAUAAAGCUGCCAUCG